UCCCGGGUGGUGUAACGGCAGCACAGGGCCUUUUGGUGGCCUCAGGUGGGGGUUCGAAUCCUCCCUCGGGAG
rnacentral:tRNA from 1 species